rnacentral:tRNA from 1 species
GGAGAGAUGGCCGAGUGGUCGAAGGCAGUAGUCUUGAAAACUACCGUGGGGAAACUCACCAAGGGUUCGAAUCCCUUUCUCUCCG